UACGUAGGGGGCAAGCGUUGUCCGGAUUUAUUGGGCGUAAAGAGCGUGUAGGCGGCCAGAUAGGUCCGUUGUGAAAACUCGAGGCUCAACCUCGAGACGCCGAUGGAAACCAUCUGGCUAGAGUCCGGAAGAGGAGAGUGGAAUUCCUGGUGUAGCGGUGAAAUGCGCAGAUAUCAGGAAGAACGCCCGUGGCUAAGGCGGCUCUCUAGUACGGUACUGACGCUGAGACGCGAAAGCGUGGGGAGCGAACAGG
rnacentral:rRNA from 1 species